CCUACGGGGGGCAGCAGUGAGGAAUAUUGGUCAAUGGACGAGAGUCUGAACCAGCCAAGUAGCGUGAAGGAUGACUGCCCUAUGGGUUGUAAACUUCUUUUAUAUGGGAAUAAAACGUUCCACGUGUGGGAUUUUGUAUGUACCAUAUGAAUAAGGAUCGGCUAACUCCGUGCCAGCAGCCGCGGUAAUACGGAGGAUCCGAGCGUUAUCCGGAUUUAUUGGGUUUAAAGGGAGCGUAGGUGGAAUGUUAAGUCAGUUGUGAAAGUUUGCGGCUCAACCGUAAAAUUGCAGUUGAAACUGGCAGUCUUGAGUACAGUAGAGGUGGGCGGAAUUCGUGGUGUAGCGGUGAAAUGCUUAGAUAUCACGAAGAACUCCGAUUGCGAAGGCAGUUCACUGGACUGCAACUGACACUGAGGCUCGAAAGUGUGGGUAUCAAACAGGAUUAGAUACCCGAGUAGUC
rnacentral:rRNA from 1 species